GCAAGUCGAGCGCGCCCUUCGGGGUGAGCGGCGGACGGGUGAGUAACGCGUGGGAAUAUGCCCUUCUCUAAGGAAUAGCCUCUGGAAACGGAGAGUAAUACCUUAUACGCCCUUAGGGGGAAAGAUUUAUCGGAGAAGGAUCGGCCCGCGUUGGAUUAGGUAGUUGGUGGGGUAAUGGCCCACCAAGCCGACGAUCCAUAGCUGGUUUGAGAGGAUGAUC
rnacentral:rRNA from 1 species